rnacentral:rRNA from 1 species
UUGUGAGGCUGAUGUGUAGGCAAAUCCGCACAUCGUUAAGGCUGGGCUGUGAUGGGGAGCGAAAAUUGCAGUAGCGAAGGUCAUGAGUUCAGGCUGCCAAGAAAAGCCUCUAGCCAGGUGAAGGUGCCCGUACCGCAAACCGACACAGGUAGGCGAGCAGAGUAUGCUAAGGCGCUCGGAAGAACUCUCGUUAAGGAACUCGGCAAAAUGACCCCGUAACUUCGGGAGAAGGGGUGCCUCGGUAGGGUGAAUAGCCCGAGGGGGCCGCAGUGAAAAGGCCCAAGCGACUGUUUAGCAAAAACACAGGUCUGUGCGAAGCCGUAAGGCGAAGUAUACGGGCUGACGCCUGCCCGGUGCUGGAAGGUUAAGGGGAGUGGUUAGCCGCAAGGCGAAGCUAUGAACCGAAGCCCCAGUAAACGGCGGCCGUAACAAUAACGGUCCUAAGGUAGCGAAAUUCCUUGUCAGGUAAAUUCUGACCCGCACGAAUGGCGUAACGACUUGGGCGCUGUCUCAACGAGAGAUCCGGUGAAAUUUUAAUACCUGUGAAGAUGCAGGUUACCCGCGACAAGACGGAAAGACCCCAUGGAGCUUUACUGCAGCUUGAUAUUGGACUUUGGUACGAUCUGUACAGGAUAGGUGGGAGCCUUGGAAACCGGAGCGCCAGCUUCGGCGGAGGCAUCGUUGGGAUACCACCCUGAUCGUAUCGGAGUUCUAACCUGGUACCGUGAUCCGGUACAGGGACCGUGUCAGGUGGGCAGUUUGACUGGGGCGGUCGCCUCCUAAAAUGUAACGGAGGCGCCCAAGGGUUCCCUCAGAAUGGUUGGAAAUCAUUCGUAGCGUGCAAAGGCAUAAGGGAGCUUGACUGCGAGACCUACAAGUCGAGCAGGGACGAAAGUCGGGCUUAGUGAUCCGGUGGUACCGCAUGGAAGGGCCAUCGCUCAACGGAUAAAAGCUACCCUGGGGAUAACAGGCUUACCUCCCCCAAGAGUCCACAUCGACGGGGAGGUUUGGCACCUCGAUGUCGGCUCAUCGCAUCCUGGGGCUGAAGUAGGUCCCAAGGGUUGGGCUGUUCGCCCAUUAAAGCGGUACGCGAGCUGGGUUCAGAACGUCGUGAGACAGUUCGGUCCCUAUCUGUCGUGGGCGUAGGAAAUUUGAGAGGAGCUGUCCUUAGUACGAGAGGACCGGGAUGGACGCACCGCUGGUGUACCAGUUGUUCCGCCAGGAGCAUAGCUGGGUAGCUACGUGCGGACGGGAUAAGCGCUGAAAGCAUCUAAGCGUGAAGCCCCCCUCAAGAUGAGAUUUCCCAGUAUGUAAGACCCCUGGAAGACGACCAGGUUGAUAGGUUCGAGGUGGAAGCGCAGCAAUGCGUGGAGCUGACGAAUACUAAUCGGUCGAGGGCUUAUCC